AUUCCAUGGUGAGGGUAUUCCUGAAGGAGGUCCUUAAAUCUCUCCAUAAAUUUGGAGAACGAUUACUAGGUUUCUUUCUAAAUUGAAGAAUGUCACUGCUGAGUUU